rnacentral:rRNA from 1 species
ACUCCUACGGGAGGCAGCAGUAGGGAAUCUUUCGCAAUGGGCGAAAGCCUGACGGAGCAACGCCGCGUGAGUGAUGAAGGUCUUCGGAUCGUAAAGCUCUGUUAUUAGGGAAGAACAAGUGCGUAAGUAACUGUGCGCACCUUGACGGUACCUAAUCAGAAAGCCACGGCUAACUACGUGCCAGCAGCCGCGGUAAUACGUAGGUGGCAAGCGUUAUCCGGAAUUAUUGGGCGUAAAGCGCGCGUAGGCGGUUUCUUAAGUCUGAUGUGAAAGCCCAUGGCUCAACCGUGGAGGGUCAUUGGAAACUGGGAAACUUGAGUGCAGAAGAGGAAAGUGGAAUUCCAUGUGUAGCGGUGAAAUGCGCAGAGAUAUGGAGGAACACCAGUGGCGAAGGCGACUUUCUGGUCUGUAACUGACGCUGAUGUGCGAAAGCGUGGGGAUCAAACAGGAUUAGAUACCCUGGUAGUCCACGCCGUAAACGAUGAGUGCUAAGUGUUAGGGGGUUUCCGCCCCUUAGUGCUGCAGCUAACGCAUUAAGCACUCCGCCUGGGGAGUACGACCGCAAGGUUGAAACUUAAAGGAAUUGACGG